rnacentral:rRNA from 1 species
CUGGCUCAGGAUGAACGCUGGCGGCGUGCCUAAUACAUGCAAGUCGAACGAGUUCUCGUUGAUGAUCGGUGCUUGCACCGAGAUUCAACAUGGAACGAGUGGCGGACGGGUGAGUAACACGUGGGUAACCUGCCCUUAAGUGGGGGAUAACAUUUGGAAACAGAUGCUAAUACCGCAUAGAUCCAAGAACCGCAUGGUUCUUGGCUGAAAGAUGGCGUAAGCUAUCGCUUUUGGAUGGACCCGCGGCGUAUUAGCUAGUUGGUGAGGUAAUGGCUCACCAAGGCGAUGAUACGUAGCCGAACUGAGAGGUUGAUCGGCCACAUUGGGACUGAGACACGGCCCAAACUCCUACGGGAGGCAGCAGUAGGGAAUCUUCCACAAUGGACGCAAGUCUGAUGGAGCAACGCCGCGUGAGUGAAGAAGGCUUUCGGGUCGUAAAACUCUGUUGUUGGAGAAGAAUGGUCGGCAGAGUAACUGUUGUCGGCGUGACGGUAUCCAACCAGAAAGCCACGGCUAACUACGUGCCAGCAGCCGCGGUAAUACGUAGGUGGCAAGCGUUAUCCGGAUUUAUUGGGCGUAAAGCGAGCGCAGGCGGUUUUUUAAGUCUGAUGUGAAAGCCCUCGGCUUAACCGAGGAAGCGCAUCGGAAACUGGGAAACUUGAGUGCAGAAGAGGACAGUGGAACUCCAUGUGUAGCGGUGAAAUGCGUAGAUAUAUGGAAGAACACCAGUGGCGAAGGCGGCUGUCUGGUCUGUAACUGACGCUGAGGCUC